UGCUACCUUUUUCUUUUCAAGGGAUGGGGUUAGAUACUGUUUGUUGCCUCUGAGACUGAGGUUGAACAACUCGCAGCAGUAUCAAGUGAAAGUCAUAAAAAUUCCAAGCUAAAUUUAUUUUUGGAAGUAGAUUUUGGGCCGGAUCUACUCGCAGUUCCUCUGCCUGACAAGACCAACGAAGAUAUCCUUCUUUUCUUUAAGCUUUAUGAACCAAAGAAACAAGGACUACGGUAGCUCUGCCUCUUUCUGCUCAGUUAUCAUAUUUUCUCCAUGUCAUUUUCGUUCGCUGAUUUAGUCUUUUGUUGCAACUUACAAGGGAAGGGGAGAGGGGGGAUUCGAACUCCAUUCUUAGGUGUAGGGUUAAAUGCUCUCGAUCAGUAGAGCUAUAAUUCUCCACCUGAUUUAAGCUUCUUCUGUGUUACCAGUUUUGUUGUUAGGCUUUACAUGAGGAGGUCUAGUGAGCCAACAGAAAUUUUGGUAAGGUUAAAUCAACUGGCUGGGUUUUCCCCUGAGGAAGAAAUUGAACUUUAUCAGGUUCGUUUCACAUUAAUUUUUUAGCAUCAGCUGUGCCAUAACAUACAUUACAUAAACAUUGUCCGCUUUAUGUAUGCAUGCAUAUAACUAUUUGAUGCACGUUCUGUUGUAGCAUUCUUAAGUAGAAAAAUUUACAUGUAAUGAUACAUUCAGGAAAUACAGUUUUAUCCAAGUGUCAGUUGUGUCAAUGUUGACAAGAGGACCUCGUUGCAAUUAAGUCAGGUAAUUGUUGCUAUAUAAAUUUAAAUUAUAUGCUUGCAUAUUGCAAACAAGUGUCGAUAACAGGAAUGAACCGUUUUGAUGCUUUGCUUAUUGCUAGUAAACUAUAUAUUUGAUGCUUUGUUUUCCAGAUUAAAGAUGGGGACAUCCUAUGCUUUCAGAAAUCCACUCCACUUGAAUGCGAAGAAGAACGUAAAUAUUUUGAUGUCCCCUCGUUUAUGGAGUAUAUAAACAGUCGCAAGGUCAAAGCUAGACACAUAUGAUGAUGUGGUGAAGAAGGUGGUUUGCCAAAUUGGUUUAGAAGAUCCUACCAUAAUCAGACUCACUGCUCAUUGCUGGUAUUCUCAACAACCUAAGCCCCAACCAAUCAAUUAUCGGGGAGUAAAGUAUUUACAAGAAAUGCUCAUCCCUCAAGAUCGAGGAUCUGACGUACUGUAUUAUGAAGUCUUGGACAUCCCGCUGCCAGAAAUGCAAGUCCUAAAAAGUCUGAAAGUUUCUUUUCUUAAUGCUACAAAAGAUGAGGUCUG